GGGCCCAUAGCUUAGUCUGGUUAAAGCGCUCGGCUCAUAACCGCGUGACCACCGGUUCGAAUCCGGUUGGGCCCA
rnacentral:tRNA from 1 species